rnacentral:rRNA from 1 species
GAUGAACACUAGCGGCAGGCUUAACACAUGCAAGUCGAGGGGUAUUGGUUUUCGGACCAAGAGACCGGCGCACGGGUGCGUAACGCGUAUGCAAUCUACCUUUUGCAGAGGGAUAGCCCCAGAGAAAUUUGGAUUAAUACCUCAUAGUAUAGUACUUUGGCAUCAAGGAACUAUUAAAGUCACAACGGCAAAAGAUGAGCAUGCGUCCCAUUAGCUAGUUGGUAAGGUAACGGCUUACCAAGGCUACGAUGGGUAGGGGUUCUGAGAGGGAGAUCCCCCACACUGGUACUGAGACACGGACCAGACUCCUACGGGAGGCAGCAGUGAGGAAUAUUGGACAAUGGGCGCAAGCCUGAUCCAGCCAUGCCGCGUGCAGGAUGACGGUCCUAUGGAUUGUAAACUGCUUUUANACAGGAAGAAACACUCCGACGUGUCGGAGCUUGACGGUACUGUAAGAAUAAGGAUCGGCU